GACGAACGCUGGCGGCGCGCCUAACACAUGCAAGUCGAGCGAAGCGGCGAACGGGUGAGUAGCGCGUGAGGAACCUGCCUCUCACCACGGGAUAGCCUCGGGAAACCGGGAUUAAUACAGUAUGGUGAGAGAUGGCCUCGCGUCUGAUUAGUUAGUGGGUGAGGUAACGGACCACCAAGGCGACGAUGGGUAGCCGGCCUGGGAGGGGGAACGUCCACAUUUGAACUGAGAAACGGUCCAAACUCUACGGGAGGCAGCAGUGGGGAAUAUUGCACAAUGGAGGGAACUCUGAUGCAGCGACGCCGCGUGAACGAAGAAGGCUUUCGAGUCGUAAAGUUCUUUUAUAUGGGAAGCGGUACCAUAAGAAAAAGCCCCGGCUAACUACGUGCCAGCAGCCGCGGUAAUUC
rnacentral:rRNA from 1 species